GACGAACGCUGGCGGCGUGCUUAACACAUGCAAGUCGAACGGAAAGGCCUGCUUUCCCUUGUGGAUUGCGGGUACUCGAGUGGCGAACGGGUGAGUAACACGUGAGUGAUCUGCCCCCAACUUGGGUAUAAGCCUGGGAAACUGGGUCUAAUUCCCGAUAGGACUGCAGGGUGGUGCCUGUGGUGGAAAACGAUUUUCUAGUGGUUGGGGAUGAGCUCGCGGCCUAUCAGCUUGUUGGUGGGGUAAUGGCCUACCAAGGCGGCGACGGUUAGCCGGCCUGAGAGGGUGGACGGCCACAUUGGGACUGAGAUACGGCCCAGACUCCUACGGGAGGCAGCAGUGGGGAAUAUUGCACAAUGGGCGGAAGCCUGAUGCAGCGACGCCGCGUGGGGGAUGACGGCCUUCGGGUUGUAAACUCCUUUCGACCGCGAGGAAGCCACCUGGUUGGAAGGGUGGUGACGGUAGUGGUAGAAGAAGCACCGGCUAACUACGUG
rnacentral:rRNA from 1 species